rnacentral:rRNA from 1 species
AUUGAACGCUGGCGGCAUGCCUUACACAUGCAAGUCGAACGGCAGCACGGGAGCAAUCCUGGUGGCGAGUGGCGAACGGGUGAGUAAUAUAUCGGAACGUGCCCAGUCGUGGGGGAUAACGUAGCGAAAGCUACGCUAAUACCGCAUACGAUCUAUGGAUGAAAGCGGGGGAUCGCAAGACCUCGCGCGAUUGGAGCGGCCGAUAUCAGAUUAGGUAGUUGGUGGGGUAAAGGCUCACCAAGCCAACGAUCUGUAGCUGGUCUGAGAGGACGACCAGCCACACUGGAACUGAGACACGGUCCAGACUCCUACGGGAGGCAGCAGUGGGGAAUUUUGGACAAUGGGCGCAAGCCUGAUCCAGCAAUGCCGCGUGCAGGAUGAAGGCCUUCGGGUUGUAAACUGCUUUUGUACGGAACGAAACGGUGAGCUCUAAUAAAGCUUGCUAAUGACGGUACCGUAAGAAUAAGCACCGGCUAACUACGUG